GUGGGGAAUAUUGCGCAAUGGGAGAAAUCCUGACGCAGCGACGCCGCGUGAGCGAUGAAGGCCUUCGGGUCGUAAAGCUCUGUUAGCAAGGAACAAGAAACACUGGGUAACAUUCAGUGUUUUUGAGUGUACUUGCAGAGGAAGCACCGGCUAACUCUGUGCCAGCAGCCGCGGUAAUACAGAGGGUGCAAGCGUUGUUCGGAAUCAUUGGGCGUAAAGCGUGUCUAGGCGGCCUAAUUAGUCAAGGGUGAAAUCCCACGGCUCAACCGUGGAAUUGCCCCUGAAACGGUUAGGCUUGAGGAUGGUAGAAGAAAGCGGAAUUCCCAGUGUAGAGGUAAAAUUCGUAGAUAUUGGGAGGAACACCAGAAGCGAAAGCGGCUUUCUGGGCCAUUUCUGACGUUCAAGCACGAAAGCGUGGGGAGCAAACAGG
rnacentral:rRNA from 1 species